CCUACGGGAGGCAGCAGUGGGGAAUAUUGGACAAUGGGCGCAAGCCUGAUCCAGCCAUACCGCGUGUGUGAAGAAGGCCUUUUGGUUGUAAAGCACUUUAAGCGAGGAGGAGGCUCUUGAGGAUAAUACCCUUGAUGAGUGGACGUUACUCGCAGAAUAAGCACCGGCUAACUCUGUGCCAGCAGACGCGGUAAUACAGAGGGUGCGAGCGUUAAUCGGAAUUACUGGGCGUAAAGCGCGCGUAGGCGGCUUGUUAAGUCGGAUGUGAAAUCCCCGGGCUCAACCUGGGCACUGCAUUCGAUACUGGCAAGCUAGAGUAUGGGAGAGGAAGGUAGAAUUCCAGGUGUAGCGGUGAAAUGCGUAGAGAUCUGGAGGAAUACCGAUGGCGAAGGCAGCCUUCUGGCCUAAUACUGACGCUGAGGUGCGAAAGCAUGGGGAGCAAACAGGAUUAGAUACCCUGGUAGUCCAUGCCGUAAACGAUGUCAACUAGCCGUUGGGGACCUUGAGUCUUUAGUGGCGCAGCUAACGCGAUAAGUUGACCGCCUGGGGAGUACGGUCGCAAGACUAAAACGUCAAAGGAUUGACGG
rnacentral:rRNA from 1 species